rnacentral:rRNA from 1 species
GACGAACGCUGGCGGCGUGCCUAACACAUGCAAGUCGAACGAGAUCCAUGGGAGCUUGCUCCCGGAAGAUCUAGUGGCGAACGGGUGAGUAACACGUGAGAAACCUGCCCUGGAGUGGGGAAUAACUCGGGGAAACUCGAGCUAAUACCGCAUACCCUCGGAUGGUCGCAUGGCCGACCGAGGAAAGAUUUAUCGCUCUAGGAGGGUCUCGCGGCCUAUCAGCUAGUUGGUGGGUAACGGCCUACCAAGGCAACGACGGGUAGCUGGUUUGAGAGAAUGAUCAGCCACACUGGGACUGAGACACGGCCCAGACUCCUACGGGAGGCAGCAGUGGGGAAUCUUGCGCAAUGGGCGAAAGCCUGACGCAGCAACGCCGCGUGCCGGGAUGACGGCCUUCGUGGUUGUAAACCGCUUUCUAGCAGGACGAAAUGACGGUACCUGCAGAAGAAG